rnacentral:rRNA from 1 species
GAUGAACGCUGGCGGCGUGCCUAAUACAUGCAAGUCGAGCGAACAGACGAGGAGCUUGCUCCUCUGACGUUAGCGGCGGACGGGUGAGUAACACGUGGAUAACCUACCUAUAAGACUGGGAUAACUUCGGGAAACCGGAGCUAAUACCGGAUAACAUGUUGAACCGCAUGGUUCAACAGUGAAAGACGGUCUUGCUGUCACUUAUAGAUGGAUCCGCGCCGCAUUAGAUAGUUGGUAAGGUAACGGCUUACCAAGGCAACUAGGCGUAGCCGACCUGAGAGGGGGAUAGGCCACACUGGAACUGAGCCACGGUCCAGAGUACUAAGGGACGCAGCAGUAGGGAAUCGUCCGCAAUGGGCGAAAGCCUGACGGAGCAACGCCGCGUGAGUGAAGAAGGUCUUCGGAUCGUAAAACUCUGUUAUUAGGGAAGAACAAAUGUGUAAGUAACUAUGCACGUCUUGACGGUACCUAAUCAGAAAGCCACGGCUAACUACGUG